GAUUUUAUAUUCAAAUAAAUGAUAUUAAAAUGCAAUUUUAAAGGUGUAAUUAAAUUAGUUACUAAAAUUU
rnacentral:tRNA from 1 species